rnacentral:rRNA from 1 species
GUAACGCGUAAUCAACCUGCCCUUCAGAGGGGGACAACAGUUGGAAACGACUGCUAAUACCGCAUACGAUCUAAUCUCGGCAUCGAGGAUGGAUGAAAGGUGGCCUCUAUUUAUAAGCUAUCACUGAAGGAGGGGAUUGCGUCUGAUUAGCUAGUUGGAGGGGUAACGGCCCACCAAGGCGAUGAUCAGUAGCCGGUCUGAGAGGAUGAACGGCCACAUUGGGACUGAGACACGGCCCAGACUCC